rnacentral:ncRNA from 2 species
ACAUAACCGCGUGACUGACGCUGAAGAUGGAGCACCAUCGGGGAGCGCGGGGAUAAAGGCCGCGCGUCUGGGCAUGUCUC